AAUGCAGAAAUUGAAUCCCAAAAUGAAAACCGAGCACUGAAAGGUGUUGCCACAAACUUAGAUGACUGGCUUCUCUCCUGUAUAACUAACAGUUACACUGUUACUUAUUCCAUAUGUAUGGUGGAGAGAGUCUUUUCACUCAGAGAACCAAGGUUACAACAUAACUAAGCGUUUUCUGGCAGUAGUUGAGACAAUGUUUUGUACAUGAAUUUGUCAUUGUACAGUAGACAGAGAAAUAAAGCUUAUUUUUCUAUUGUUUCACAUUAUGUUCUAAAGCACAAAUAAAUUACCAUCAUACACUCAACAGAUGAUUUUUGUGAAGACACAUGCUCUUUUCUCCUCCUCUGCAUUUUAUUAAUUGCAGCACUAAACACGGAAGUAGGCUACUCUAGUAUUGAUUUAUGACCAUUAUAGGACGAAGGGAGAACAUUGCUCUUUGUUUAACAUCAUUGAAAGUAAACCUUAAAUAUCAGUUUUUAGCUGAUCAGUGUUUAACCAAGUUUUGCCUUCAGUACAUCAAUCCGGCUGGGGAAAAAAAGCUCAACAAGCAUCUUUGCAGUGAUACGUCCCGA